rnacentral:rRNA from 1 species
GAUGAACGCUGGCGGCGUGCCUAAUACAUGCAAGUCGAACGCACAGCGAAAGGUGCUUGCACCUUUCAAGUGAGUGGCGAACGGGUGAGUAACACGUGGACAACCUGCCUCAAGGCUGGGGAUAACAUUUGGAAACAGAUGCUAAUACCGAAUAAAACUCAGUGUCGCAUGACACAAAGUUAAAAGGCGCUUUGGCGUCACCUAGAGAUGGAUCCGCGGUGCAUUAGUUAGUUGGUGGGGUAAAGGCCUACCAAGACAAUGAUGCAUAGCCGAGUUGAGAGCAUGAUCGGCCACCUUGGGACUGAGACACGGCCCAAACUCCUACGGGAGGCUGCAGUAGGGAAUCUUCCCCAAUGGGCGAAAGCCUGAUGGAGCAACGCCGCGUGUGUGAUGAAGGCUUUCGGGUCGUAAAGCACUGUUGUAUGGGAAGAACAGCUAGAAUAGGGAAUGAUUUUAGUUUGACGGUACCAUACCAGAAAGGGACGGCUAAAUACGUGCCAGCCGCCGCCGUAA